CUACGGGAUGCUGCAGUGAGGAAUUUUGCGCAAUGGGGGAAACCCUGACGCAGCAACGCCGCGUGAGUGAAGAAGGCUUUCGAGUCGUAAAGCUCUGUCAAGUGGGAAAAAACGUCUCCGAUCAAUAGUCGGAGGAAUUGAUGGUACCACUGGAGGAAGCACCGGCUAACUCCGUGCCAGCAGCCGCGGUAAUACGGAGGGUGCGAGCGUUGUUCGGAAUUACUGGGCGUAAAGAGCGUGUAGGCGGGUCGGUAAGUCAGAUGUGAAAGCCCUGGGCUCAACCCGGGAAGUGCAUUUGAAACUGCCAGCCUGGAGUAUGGGAGAGGAGAGUGGAAUUCCGAGUGUAGAGGCGAAAUUCGUAGAUAUUCGGAGGAACACCCGUGGCGAAGGCGACUCUCUGGACCAAUACUGACGCUGAGACGCGAAAGCGUGGGGAGCAAACAGGAUUAGGUACCCGGGUAGUC
rnacentral:rRNA from 1 species